AAUAUUCUUCACCGGUGAUUCUCGAUCUUCAUCCUCAACUUGUAGAAGUAGCUAUUUCAUUUUUUAUUCCUGAUAUUUGUUCAAAAAUCCCGGCUGAUGGGCAUCCCAAAUUUUCAGGUGUGUAUUUCAGUGGAGGUUUAAGAGUUUGUGAUAAACUCGAAAAGGGGUUAGAACUGGGUAUUUAAGUUUUGUAGCUCACAGUAAGUUAAUCCAGUUCUCCCAUUUUUCUUUCAUUAUCUAGAGUGAUAACUUUUUUGUUGAAUCUACUUGAUGUAGUGGAUGAGAAAACUAACUUGCUCCCAGGUUCCUCCGUUUGAUCACUCAGUUGUGUACGAGUUGAGUCUUGCCAAUUCAGUUUCAAAACCCUGGUUUUUUUAACGGUGAUCCUUUUAGUUUGGAAUUUUUUCCUCUGCUUGAUUGAUGGUUAUGUUGGUGAUGUAAUCGGCUAGUUGAUUAACUUCCCUGAAAAUAUGUUUGACCUGAAUGUUGAUCUGUUCAUUAAAUCUUUGAUUUCCUCCAUCCUCUCUAUUAGCUCCCAGGGUAUUUUGCAUUCUCCAACAAUCAUCUUUUUGAGACCUAGUGAAUCAGUCUCCAGAAUGAUGUUGUUGAAGUUAUGGAGAGUGCAAAACUGGAUGGCAUUCCAAAUGGCCAUCGACUAAGCUUCCAAGAUAGUUGCAAUUUAAAUGUCCUUAAUUUGCUUUGCGUAAAAGAGUAGUUCCCUGGAUUGCCUUUGCUAGCCCCAUAUAUAUUGCACUUCACCCACCUAAUCUUUGAUAGGUUUCACUUCACAAUAUGAUAAUAAUGAAGUGGCGGUCUAUAAUGUUGUAGAUAUCAACCAUCCCUUCCAAGUGGUUUGGAAUCCUCCUCAUCGAAGGGUACUUUACCAUGAUGAGUUGAUUAAGGGAUAACGAUCUGACAAAUAUUUCAAUUUUGAUCGAAUUUGCUGUUAUGAUACUAAACUUUCAUAAGGACUUAUUACCUCUCUAGACUAUUUAAUACCGUAUUUUUUAUCUCUGUAAUUAUUUUAAUAGUGUAUUUUAAAGGUAUAUAUGUGCUCACUUGGACACAUUACUAUUUAUAAUUUUUGCAUUAUUUUUUAUGUCCACGUGGACAAAUAUAUAUGUUUAAAAUAUGGUAUUAAAUAGUCUAAUGAGGUAAUAGGUCCUCAUGAAAGUUUAGUAUUGCAACAGCAAAUUCGACCAAAGUUAAGGUAUUUUUCAGACUCUUAUCCCGUUGAUUAACUGCUAGUUGACAUUGUUGAUGUUGAUACCCAAUUUUGACCCUCUUUUCUUCAAUUUACAUUUUUUGAGCUUCUAAUCUUGUUUUCUAAACGAGUUCAUGAGGAGUUUUUGAGCUUUAUCUUUUUUAAGAGAAUCUUUUUGAGUAAUAAUCUCAAGUUGAGGAUGAGUUAUGUUUUUAAACAUAUGAGAAUGAGUUAUAUAUUAUUGGGAGUAGUAUUGAGCACCGAUAUGGGGAUGGGUUUAAUUAGACAACUCAAAAUGCUCAUAAAUCAUGUGCAUACAUGGAUAAAUGGUCAUAUUUUUUAGAUGAUUCUUUAUUGCUUUUAAGCAUAACUUAGUGGACCCACUUAGUUGAGGAUGUCCUAUACCCCGACAAGGUAUAUGAAAGUUUUGGCAGCGUGGACGAGACGUUACAUCAUCACGUAGCUCAUAGUGAUGGUUGUGGGUUAGAGAAUCUCCCAAAUAAAAGUAAAGAGUUUAUUAUUGUAUUUUUAUAUACAUCUGAGUUAUUACUUACUUUUUUUAAAGUUUGAUAUAUUCAUUGCAUCUUUUAUCAUUGCUUUCAUGUUGAGUUGAGACGAGGUGAGUGUCUUCCUUUCUUCCAAUUCAAGUUUAUGUUUAUAUUUCAGAGUCCCCCUUGCAUGCUGUUACAUUCAAUGUAUUGAUCUGAUGCCAUUUGGACUGCAUUGUUUCAUGAUGGAGAUACAAGUAUUCAAGAUCAUCAACCGGUACUCAGUUGAUCCAAUCAUAUUUCAGCUAGCUUUGGUGAGCCUCCUUGCUUUUCAGAGUGUUACACAUUGAGAUUUUCAGUUUUAUUUUGUUAGGAUGUCGUGAAUCUUAUCUCGACUUCCAGCAUAGUUAUUAGAAGCUUCAUAGACAGUAGUGUUUCGAGGAGUAUUUUCCAUUUCCAUUAUUAAUGUUUAAGACUUGAGUUUCCUUCUUUGGCUAGUUGAAUGUUUUCAAACAUUCUUGAGCUUAAUUAUUUUAGGAGAGUUGACAUAUGCGAGGGGUGUACGGAUUUUUUUUCGUGUGACCGUGUAGCCUACUCACUCGAGUUGUCCACUCAGGAACCUUGCGUCUAGUACACCCCCUCUUAAUCUAUCUAGGAUAGAGCUAAACCAACACAUUUUAUGAUUCAUGCAUCAUGUAAACUUAAGAGACUUAAUAUCAUUGGUAUAUUAAGUUCAUUAGUCAGUUUUAUCCAAAUGUUCAAGUGAGUUCACAAUCCCGAGUGACUCUUAUUAUUUAUGUGUGCAUUAUUGAAAAUAGUUGUGUCAAAAUAUGGACCGUUUGUUCUAAAUUAAUUAAACUUUAGGAUGGAGGAUAUUACUAACCCUUUUAUAAUGCAUAUAGCUACAGAUCUUAAGCUUUGGCCUAUGAAGAUUAAGCCACGAGCAUGUCAUGAGACGAAAAUGUGUAGAUGCGAUGGAGAACUUUAUUAUUUUAUUUUAUUUUACAUGUAAUAAAGCUUAAGUUUAUUUUUGUACUUAAUUUGGGUAAUAGAUUCAUUUAAUUAAUUAAAGAGAAAUGGAAUGACAUAUUUUGGCAUAUUUAUUUUUCAAAUACAUGUUAG
rnacentral:lncRNA from 1 species